rnacentral:rRNA from 1 species
GAAAUGAGACACGGUCCAGACUCUUACGGGAGGCAGCAGUGGGGAAUUUUGGACAAUGGGGGCAACCCUGAUCCAGCCAUUCCGCGUGAGUGAAGAAGGCCUUCGGGUUGUAAAGCUCUUUCGGACGGAACGAAAUGGUUACGGCUAACACCUGUGACUGAUGACGGUACCGUAAGAAGAAGCACCGGCUAGCUACGUGCCAGCAGCCGCGGUAAUACGUAGGGUGCGAGCGUUAAUCGGAAUUACUGGGCGUAAAGCGUGCGCAGGCGGCGGCACAAGUCAGGUGUGAAAUCCCCGGGCUUAACCUGGGAAUUGCGCUUGAAACUAGGUCGCUAGAGUGUGGCAGAGGGGGGUGGAAUUCCACGUGUAGCAGUGAAAUGCGUAGAGAUGUGGAGGAACACCGAUGGCGAAGGCAGCCCCCUGGGUCAACACUGACGCUCAGGCACGAAAGCGUGGGGAGCAAACAGGAUUAGAUACCCUGGUAGUCCACGCCCUAAACGAUGUCGACUAGGUGUUGGGGAAGGAGACUUCCUUAGUACCGCAGCUAACGCGUGAAGUCGACCGCCUGGGGAGUACGGUCGCAAGAUUAAAACUCAAAGGAAUUGACG